ACACUCCUGCGGGAGGCAGCAGUGAGGAAUAUUGGACAAUGGGUGGAAGCCUGAUCCAGCCAUCCCGCGUGCAGGAAGACGGCCCUAUGGGUUGUAAACUGCUUUUAUCUGGGGAUAAACCUACUUACGUGUAAGUAGCUGAAGGUACCAGAAGAAUAAGCACCGGCUAACUCCGUGCCAGCAGCCGCGGUAAUACGGAGGGUGCAAGCGUUAUCCGGAUUUAUUGGGUUUAAAGGGUCCGUAGGCGGACUGAUAAGUCAGUGGUGAAAUCCGACAGCUUAACUGUCGAACUGCCAUUGAUACUGUUAGUCUUGAGUAAGGUUGAAGUGGCUGGAAUAAGUAGUGUAGCGGUGAAAUGCAUAGAUAUUACUUAGAACACCAAUUGCGAAGGCAGGUCACUAAGUCUUAACUGACGCUGAUGGACGAAAGCGUGGGGAGCGAACAGGAUUAGAAACCCCAGUAGUCCCAUGAU
rnacentral:rRNA from 1 species